rnacentral:lncRNA from 1 species
UCUCUGGGCGAAUUCAUUAUGCUCGGAUUAAAUAUCCCCAAUAUUAAUAUUCUCUGAACUCUCUGUCUCUCUCCCCGUGUUGAAAAGAGAUGUCGGUCUCUUCUGUCCAAGUCUGUCCAAGGAAACACACUUGGCUGUGUCUGUACUAGGCGGUGUUUAACUUUGCACUUUCGCCGCGGAGGGAGGAGCCGGUCCUUUUAGGGCCCAGUGCCAUAUCCAUGGAUCAGCUUAAAUAGCGCUAGACCGGGAUGCACUGGUAAUACUGCGUACCGGUAUUACUAUUACAUCCUGUUAGGGCUGUUGUCAGACAGCAGGUAACUUUACGGGUACGACUCGUGUAUUUGCUGUACCGCCAACUGAUCACGUGUAUGCCACCUCUACUAUGUAGUAUAAUUCUUUGAAUAAGUUGAAUUCGCUGUUGCAAAUGAUUUUCCAACUGCGCGAUGGAUCUACAUAUUUCUUUUUCCUUUUCAUCCAAAUAAACUCGGCACAUGAUUUCGCCCUCAUGUACGCCGUACGUGACCGACUCUUUUUGUGAUUUGAAUUUCUGCACAGGCCGCCAACAGGACAAGUCAAGUCGAACGGGGAACGGGUUGCAUAUGCAUGAGCGCUUAGCCGGGGGUGUUCAGCGGGCCGCGCCGGCGUGAUAUAGUAUCUAGGGCCAACGAAGAAUCGAUAAAAAUCAAAUUGGCUUCAGGCUGAUGUGCAAGCGCAGAUUGUGGAUAUGUAUUAUCUUCGUCCUAGUGUGUAUUUGCUAUUUACUGCGUGUAGUUGGCCAAGCUGGCUUGGUUUAUCCAUGGAAAUCGGGAGCCACGAUCAAUCAAGCGUAUGGGGGUCGUCUUCGUGCCUAGGAUUAGGUGCCUACAUUAUAUUAACCCCAGUAACAACCCCCAAGCAUCAUGUAUGACAACGCUCGACUCGAACAAUUGACUAGUAGAGUGAAUCACGAAUAAAGUCCGAGGGUCGUAUAUCAGUGGCCUAAUCUGAAGAAAAACCGACAGGGAUAGCUGUCAUAAGAACCAUGUGCUGACGUCCACCUGAUUUGCUCCUCUCCAACACUCGAACAACUUGAGCAGGGCUAUGUGUCGCUAUUCCUUCUUACAGGGAAAAAUCUUCUAUUAAUGUUCGAUUUCCGACACCCCCGACGAAACCCGCUUUGAAGCGUCGGCCGCUUGGGAAAUUUUGAUUUACGGUGACUCCGACGCAAGAAAAAAAAAACGUACGAAGAAUUGAAUUUUCAUAUGGGCUUAAGCCUCCGAGUUCGCCAUCACACUUUGUGUAUCCAUGGUUCAUGUGGUUUGACUAACCUGUUAGUGAGAUGGGGAGUGUGGGCGCGGACGAGCCGUCCCUUCCCUUCCCUGUGACUUUUGUGUUCUUUUUGUUCGUCCUCAGCUGAAAAAAUCUCAUCGACACGGAUCCAUACAAUUGAAGUCUUGCGAGGCCUUUUUGCCACCACGGAUGAACGGGGCUGCUUGUUACGGGAAAAUAAUAGCAGAGAAAAACAGGAUUCGAUUCGUCCCAGGCAAAUUACAUCUGAGCCAAUCAACCCUUCCUCGGCCACGAUUCAUUUCCUUGUUUCUUAGAAAUCUAUCAUUCGGAUCUGCUCUUUCUUUCAAGGUCAUUUCAAACUUCCUGCGCGUCAUCCAUCCUCUGUGUGGAGCAAGGCCUCUUCUAACGAAAAAAAUGAUCCACCAUUCUCCGAUCUUAAUUCCCUCUUUGCCUCGACGUGACUCGAUGGUUUUUUCUUGCGCCCUGGUUUUUACUGGAUCCCGGUACCUACCAAAAAACAUUUAUUUAUGCAAGAACGGCCCGUGUAGCCGCUGCAUGUACUUGUAGAUUAUCUUAAUAACGUAUAGGGCUAUGAUUAAUUGCACCACAUAUGAUCAUGCCUACUCUUCUCUUGCAAUGAAUUUUCUUCUGCAUCCUGUUGUGAGGCCGAAUAUUCCGUCUAAUUGAGGAUUAAAAUAGGUAGAAUUACCAUAUAUCCUUGAGCUAUGGUCACCGGGUUAAGGAGCACAUUUCGCAUCCAUGGUUUGAUUUCGAAAUUCGGACCAGUGCAUCCCGUUUAUUUGGUACCACAGCGUAGUCCGUUUUCAUUGAUGGGCCAACCCAACUGCCCAGGAUGAUGGAUCUCGGGACACACUCGGGAUUUCACACAUGGGAUCCACAUCCUGGUCCACGGUCCCAUGGUGGGCGGCAUUUUUGAUGAAGGUUUAUAGAUUGAUGAACGAAUCAGACCUGAAUACAACGGUUUUCCGUAGCAAAAACUUUGUGACCGUCAUAGAUGUGAGACAUCUGAUCAAACCCUCGAGCCCGUAUUAUCUUCCGAGGCUAGAAUGUCGGGUACCUGCUUAUUAGAUGACAGACUGAAUUGAAUCAGCGAGAUCUUAUCCGGUAUUCGUACAUAAGAUGUAGAGACAACCACCUGCCAAACUUGUCAAAGCCGCGUCCCCCACGGAAUUAACGAACAGAGUAAUACGUAGCUACUAAUCAUGACUCUACUCAGCUGACUGUAUAACCAAAGCUAAGCAGGUCCCUUGCACCGCCUCUUCACCGCUCAAUGGUCGCAUACAUUAAU